GAUGAACGCUAGCGGCAGGCCUAACACAUGCAAGUCGAGGGGCAGCGGGAGUGCUUGCACUCGCCGGCGACCGGCGCACGGGUGCGGAACGCGUAUCGAAUCUACCUCUAUCUGGGGGAUACCCCAUGGAAACGUGGAAUAAUACCCCAUAGUAUUACUUUAUCGCAUGAUUUAGUAAUUAAAGAAUUUCGGAUAGAGAUGACGAUGCGUAUCAUUAGCUAGUAGGUAAGGUAACGGCUUACCUAGGCAACGAUGAUUAGGGGUCCUGAGAGGGAGAUCCCCCACACUGGUACUGAGACACGGACCAGACUCCUACGGGAGGCAGCAGUGAGGAAUAUUGGACAAUGGUCGAAAGACUGAUCCAGCCAUGCCGCGUGCAGGAUGACUGCCCUAUGGGUUGUAAACUGCUUUUAUACGGGAAGAAAAACACCUACGUGUAGGUGACUGACGGUACCGUAAGAAUAAGGACCGGCUAACUCCGUG
rnacentral:rRNA from 1 species